AUACGGAGGGUGCAAGCGUUAAUCGGAAUUACUGGGCGUAAAGGGCGCGUAGGCGGUCUAUCAAGUCAGGUGUGAAAUCCCACGGCUCAACCGUGGAGGUGCAUCUGAAACUGAUAGACUUGAGUAUGGGAGAGGAAAGUGGAAUUCCCGGUGUAGAGGUGAAAUUCGUAGAUAUCGGGAGGAACACCAGUGGCGAAGGCGACUUUCUGGACCAAUACUGACGCUGAGGGACGAAAGCGUGGGGAGCAAACAGGAUUAGAAACCCUAGUAGUCC
rnacentral:rRNA from 1 species